CUUAAAGUCUCCUUGUCGACAAAGACAGUUUUUGUUCCCAUUAAACAGGAAAUUGAACAGCCUAAGAAGCUGACAUUUCGAUGAAUCUUUUGCCACACUAUCAUAAAUUUGUAGUUCAAUUUUGAAAUAGUGGCACUGAGGUCUUGACUGGAAAUUUUCUUCCAAAAUACCCUGAAUGCUCAUGCUCAGUCACUCAGUUGUGUCUGACUCUUUGUGACAGCAUGGGCAAUAGCCCACCAGACUCCUCUAUCCAUGGGAUUUUCCAGGCAAAAAUACUGGAGUGGGUUGCCAUUUUCUUCUCCAGGAGAUCCUCCUGACCCAGGGAUCCAAUUAGCAUCUUCACCUCCUGCAUUGAUGCUAAAAUCGUGGAGGAGAAUAGUGUAUCAGAAAGAAGAGAUCUUUGAAGAGCCGUUUUCCUCUGAGGCCCAGGUAAGAGUGUUAUUUGUCUUUCUUGGCAUAUUUUGCAAAAACAAUAACAAAAAGCUCAAAAACAUUUUAAAGUUUAUUUUCUUAAUUUGCACUGAUCCACAUUUCCCAAGACCACCAGAAUCUCAUUAAUGUCAACAGGACAGUAUUUCUCUAGCUCUAAACCAUUUACACGUUUGGGGAGUCUAGUUGCCUCAAUUCUCCCAAGUAGCCGAGGAAAUUCCUAGGUACAUGAAGUGAGUGUAGGUAUGGAGAUGAUUGGAUUAUGAAUAGAACACACCCUCCUUCUUGCAAGUUCUUUUUAAAAAAUUCAUUAAUUUUAUUGAAGUG
ensembl:lncRNA